rnacentral:lncRNA from 1 species
GUGAUAGAGCUACAAAAAUAAUUGAUAUUUUCUUACUUUGAUUAAAGUAGGUGGUCUUAUGUAUUUCCCCACUUUGUUUUUACUGAAAUGAAAUUGUUCUCAAGAGAUGAGAGAAAGGAGAGCUAAAGUCAUUAGGUUCAAUCUGAUUUAACCUUUGGUGACUUGAGUUAGGUUACCUAAUUCAUAGCUGACUAAUUGUGAAUUAGUUUUAAAAGAUUCUCAAGGGAUCAGGCAACCUUUUCCUUUUCUUUGAUGAUUCUGUGUAGCAUAGGUAAAGUAUUGGUGUAGAGUUGGACUAACUGCUUUAACUUCUGAGAGCCUGUGCCCGGGGCAAGCACAUAAAUAAGUUUAAGUCUGUUUUGUUACAUAUUUCAUCCAAGGGCAGAAAAUUUGCAGCAUUGGGUAUUGGUAUUCCAAGUUCAAGUGCAGUGAAUUAGAAACUAAUUCAAGAGAAGUGAGGGUGAGAAACAGGGCUAUGAUUAAUUCAAAUGUAACUGUUUCUUGAGACUUAGUUGUUUUAUUUCUCAGUAUUUAUUAUUUGCACUGAGACUGCUAGAAUUAGGUUAAGAAAAACAAAGCAAAAUAAAAAUCUACACGUCCAGAAUAAUGAAUAGAAAACUCAGUAGUGGAAUGACAAUUUCUUCAUAACUUGAUAAAGAAGGUGAGUCAGUUCAGAAGCCUCAGAGUAUCUUUUGAUAUAAC